GAUGAAGAACGCAGUAAAAUGCGAUAAGUAAUGUGAAUUGCAGAAUUCAGUGAAUCAUCGAAUCUUUGAACGCACAUUGCGCCCGCCAGUAUUCUGGCGGGCAUGCCUGUUCGAGCGUCAUUUCAACCCUCAAGCACAGCUUGGUGUUGGGACUCGCGUUAAUUCGCGUUCCUCAAAUUGAUUGGCGGUCACGUCGAGCUUCCAUGGCGUAGUAGUAAAACCCUCGUUACUGGUAAUCGUCGCGGCCACGCCGUUAAACCCCAACUUCUGAAUGUUGACCUCGGAUCAGGUAGGAAUACCCGCUGAACUUAAGCAUAUCAAUAAGCGGAGGA
rnacentral:misc_RNA from 1 species